CCUACGGGAGGCAGCAGUGGGGAAUAUUGCACAAUGGGCGCAAGCCUGAUGCAGCCAUGCCGCGUGUAUGAAGAAGGCCUUAGGGUUGUAAAGUACUUUCAGUCGGGAGGAAGGUGUUGAGUUUAAUAUGCUCAGCAAUUGACGUUACCGACAGAAGAAGCACCGGCUAACUCCGUGCCAGCAGCCGCGGUAAUACGGAGGGUGCAAGCGUUAAUCGGAAUUACUGGGCGUAAAGCGCACGCAGGCUGUUUGUUAAGUCAGAUGUGAAAUCCCCGAGCUUAACUUGGGAACUGCAUUUGAAACUGGCAAGCUAGAGUCUUGUAGAGGGGGGUAGAAUUCCAGGUGUAGCGGUGAAAUGCGUAGAGAUCUGGAGGAAUACCUGUUGCGAAGGCGGCCCCCUGGACAAAGACUGACGCUCAGGUGCGAAAGCGUGGGGAGCA
rnacentral:rRNA from 1 species